AAGAAUCAAGAAGAUGCCAAAAAAAAUGAGGAAGAAAUAGAGAAUCAAGAAGUUAAUGCAGAAGAUCAACCAAUGAAUCCAGAAAAUGAAGACAAAAAUAAUGAAAAAGACAAUGAAGAAAAACAAAUGAAUGAAGUUUCAAAAGAAGCACAUCACCCAACCAUUGGAGAAUCUGAAGAACAGCC